GGGCUUGUUGCUCAGUGAUAGAGCGCUUGCCUUGCAAGUAUGAAGCACUGGGUUCGAUCCUCAGCACCA
rnacentral:tRNA from 1 species